rnacentral:rRNA from 1 species
AGUGAACGCUGGCGGUAGGCCUAACACAUGCAAGUCGAACGGCAGCACAGUAAGAGCUUGCUCUUACGGGUGGCGAGUGGCGGACGGGUGAGGAAUACAUCGGAAUCUACUUUUUCGUGGGGGAUAACGUAGGGAAACUUACGCUAAUACCGCAUACGACCUACGGGAGAAAGCAGGGGAUCUUCGGACCUUGCGCGAUUGAAUGAGCCGAUGUCGGAUUAGCUAGUUGGCGGGGUAAAGGCCCACCAAGGCGACGAUCCGUAGCUGGUCUGAGAGGAUGAUCAGCCACACUGGAACUGAGACACGGUCCAGACUCCUACGGGAGGCAGCAGUGGGGAAUAUUGGACAAAGGGCGCAAGCCUGAUCCAGCCAUACCGCGUGGGUGAAGAAGGCCUUCGGGUUGUAAAGCCCUUUUGUUGGGAAAGAAAAGCAGCAGGUUAAUACCCCGCUGUUCUGACGGUACCCAAAGAAUAAGCACCGGCUAACUUCGUG